rnacentral:rRNA from 1 species
GCAGUAGCCGCGGGAAUACGUAGGGUCCGAGCGUUGUCCGGAAUUACUGGGCGUAAAGAGCUCGUAGGUGGUUUGUCGCGUUGUUCGUGAAAACUCACAGCUUAACUGUGGGCGUGCGGGCGAUACGGGCAGACUAGAGUACUGCAGGGGAGACUGGAAUUCCUGGUGUAGCGGUGGAAUGCGCAGAUAUCAGGAGGAACACCGGUGGCGAAGGCGGGUCUCUGGGCAGUAACUGACGCUGAGGAGCGAAAGCGUGGGGAGCGAACAGGAUUAGAUACCCCAGUAGUCCCUGUCUCUUAUAA